GUACAUUAGUGCUUGCGCACGACAGUAGUUUUCAUUACAUUCGAGUUUAUGUGUAAAAUCCUCCGUCAGCCGAAGCCAACAAGAGGCCAAAGGUGCACAGGGUAAUGGAUGAAAGUCACCAACGUGCACUUGCUCAGCAGCACUGAAGGCAACGAUUCACAAUCACUAAUGAUCCUUCCGCAGGUUCACCUACGGAAA
rnacentral:misc_RNA from 1 species